AUGUUAAAUGUUAAUCUCAGAAAAGAAGGGAGAUACCUUCAAAGGGAGACAGAGUGUUUGCUUACUAACUAUAGAAGAAGAGCAGAUUUUUCUGGAAGGAGUUGGAAGCACUAUAACCACAGACACAAAACCAGCGUCUUCCCAUUGAGCCUGAAGCCCGGAAGUGCCAGGAAAUGGUUUUUAAGUCAUUUCAUUCCCUGGACUUUUGGAUCUCCCUCCUCAGGUGGCCAGCCCAGGUCAUGCCAAGAUGGGAAGAUUCUCCAUCUCUGGUCCACUUUGAGAAAUAGAGAAUUGCACAUGGCUCCCCAGUCUGUACAGAAGCAAGAGUGGACUCCAGAAUUACCUGACUCCUCCAACAGCCAUCUACUCACUGCUGCCUACUCACCUUGCACAUAG
rnacentral:lncRNA from 1 species